rnacentral:rRNA from 1 species
GCGCAGUACGGGAUGCCUAUACUGCGAGUCGAACGAACUCUGGUAUUGAUUGGUGCUUGCAUCAUGAUUUACAUUUGAGUGAGUGGCGAACUGGUGAGUAACACGUGGGAAACCUGCCCAGAAGCGGGGGAUAACACCUGGAAACAGAUGCUAAUACCGCAUAACAACUUGGACCGCAUGGUCCGAGUUUGAAAGAUGGCUUCGGCUAUCACUUUUGGAUGGUCCCGCGGCGUAUUAGCUAGAUGGUGAGGUAACGGCUCACCAUGGCAAUGAUACGUAGCCGACCUGAGAGGGUAAUCGGCCACAUUGGGACUGAGACACGGCCCAAACUCCUACGGGAGGCAGCAGUAGGGAAUCUUCCACAAUGGACGAAAGUCUGAUGGAGCAACGCCGCGUGAGUGAAGAAGGGUUUCGGCUCGUAAAACUCUGUUGUUAAAGAAGAACAUAUCUGAGAGUAACUGUUCAGGUAUUGACGGUAUUUAACCAGAAAGCCACGGCUAACUACGUGCCAGCAGCCGCGGUAAUACGUAGGUGGCAAGCGUUGUCCGGAUUUAUUGGGCGUAAAGCGAGCGCAGGCGGUUUUUUAAGUCUGAUGUGAAAGCCUUCGGCUCAACCGAAGAAGUGCAUCGGAAACUGGGAAACUUGAGUGCAGAAGAGGACAGUGGAACUCCAUGUGUAGCGGUGAAAUGCGUAGAUAUAUGGAAGAACACCAGUGGCGAAGGCGGCUGUCUGGUCUGUAACUGACGCUGAGGCUCGAAAGUAUGGGUAGCAAACAGGAUUAGAUACCCUGGUAGUCCAUACCGUAAACGAUGAAUGCUAAGUGUUGGAGGGUUUCCGCCCUUCAGUGCUGCAGCUAACGCAUUAAGCAUUCCGCCUGGGGAGUACGGCCGCAAGGCUGAAACUCAAAGGAAUUGACGGGGGCCCGCACAAGCGGUGGAGCAUGUGGUUUAAUUCGAAGCUACGCGAAGAACCUUACCAGGUCUUGACAUACUAUGCAAAUCUAAGAGAUUAGACGUUCCCUUCGGGGACAUGGAUACAGGUGGUGCAUGGUUGUCGUCAGCUCGUGUCGUGAGAUGUUGGGUUAAGUCCCGCAACGAGCGCAACCCUUAUUAUCAGUUGCCAGCAUUAAGUUGGGCACUCUGGUGAGACUGCCGGUGACAAACCGGAGGAAGGUGGGGAUGACGUCAAAUCAUCAUGCCCCUUAUGACCUGGGCUACACACGUGCUACAAUGGAUGGUACAACGAGUUGCGAACUCGCGAGAGUAAGCUAAUCUCUUAAAGCCAUUCUCAGUUCGGAUUGUAGGCUGCAACUCGCCUACAUGAAGUCGGAAUCGCUAGUAAUCGCGGAUCAGCAUGCCGCGGUGAAUACGUUCCCGGGCCUUGUACACACCGCCCGUCACACCAUGAGAGUUUGUAACACCCAAAGUCGGUGUGGUAACCUUUUAGGAACCAGCCGCUUGAGGUGGACCGAAGUCGGG